UCACAGAAGCAUCCUUGAAGAGCGUCAGAAAAUAUAUAUGAUGCAGGAAAGAAUCUCAAAGAAGGAGAAGAACUUACAGGCAGCAUAGUCAACGCGCCUCGGGUCAUUACUGCCGUAAUGUCGUUCCUCCUGUUCGUACUACUCGCUGCUGUUUGCGUUAGCGACGCAGCAACCUGGAGGCCUGUACUGCCCCCCCUCGAGGAAGGUGGCUGGAAGGACAUAAACCCAGACAGCAGUGAUGUUGCACGAGUGAGAGAUUUUAUCGCACGUACAAUGAACUCCAGAGGAGGUACUCGUCACGUGAAGAAAGUCCUACGAGCAGAGGAACAAGUUGUUUCGGGAAAGAACUACAGGUUGACACUUCUUGUCGAGGAAACCCGGACAAUGCUGUGCGCGCUCACGACACCCAGGCCUCGUCAGUUCACUUGCGUGGCAGUCGUCCGUGAAGUGCCCUGGCUGCGUUCGCUAUCACUGUCUUCAAUGAACUGUGUAGAACCAAGGAGCCUGAUUUCCGCGAGGUGUUGACGGAAUAAAGAGUCACUGGAUGUGUACCA